GGAGGCAGCCUGGGACCGGCCCACGGAGUUGCAGCCGCCCAUCGCUCCCUCCUUGCGGACAUCAUGCUCCAGUUCCUGAUACCAAACCUGGCUAAAAAACUUGAAGACAUUAAAAAGGACCUGGAUGCCAAGAAGAAACCCCCUAGUUCAUGAGGCCGACUCCAGCCCUGCCUUCUGGAUUCUACUAUUGUCAAGGGCCUCCUUUACUCUGAACCAAAAGCUUUUGUUUUAAUUUCCAGCCUCAGCAGUUUUCUUCAUUGUGUUGCCUUAGAGCACAAAUGGGGCCACAAGUUAAGAACUACCCUUAAUUUUCCAACAGCAUCACUUCUUCCCUUGCUCCUUCCAGCCACUUGGGAGGCCCUGAAACUGGAAUUAUGGUGCUAGAUUAGUAAACAUGACCUUUAAUUAGUAGUCUCUCCCUUUUUCUUUGGAAUUUCUAUUACCUUUUUUCAAAAGAAAAAUUGAUGAAUUUUGUAUAGCAGAUGAGAUAUAAAUAAUGCUGAUUUCACAUUCUAGCAAUUAUAUAAAGAGUAUUUAAACAUUCGGUACUUAAUUAUGUUAUUUCAAAAUAGUAGUUAAAAUCAAGAAGCCAGUUCCUGGUGAAUUAUCCAUUGUUGUCAGGAAGCUGCAUAGUUGCUAUUGUAACCACUAUAUCAAUUUGCUAUUCAUUAACCAAGAAACAGUGUUCUGAGAACCCUGAGAACUUACAAAUAUUUAAAAUAAUGGCCGUUGUCCUCAAUAGUAUUCCUAGUCUAACAUUCAUGUUGUUUUUUAAUGAUGUGUUUGAUCUGGUUCUUUUCCCUCGUAAGAAUCAUACUUUAUGGGAUAACAGGUGCAUGUGACAUUACCUGGUGGAUAAAUGAGAAGUUGAUUAUAAAGGAAGUUUUAUGCCUUUUUAUAUUUAAAAAAUAUGUUUACAUUAUAACUUUAUAGUGAGCCCCUGAGUGAGUGGGUUAAGGAUCUGGCAUUGCUCAGUCUCAUAGGAAGCCUUUUUGUGUUUUUUUCCUGCAAUCAGAAAUUGCUCUCUUAGUUUGUCAAAUGUAUAAUCAGUCCACAUUUUUUUAAGUGAAAAAAAUUUAAAUAGGUAACUUCCCCUUGGGUCAGUACAAAAGUGAUUUAGAAUUAAGGACUUCUCCCACCCCUGUCCUGCAGCUCCUAGUUCCUCUUCCUGGAGUCAGGCACUGUUGCCAGUUUUUUUGAAAAAGAUUCUGUCCCUAAACAAACAUGUUCAUGAGGGUUUUUAUACAAAUAAUAACAAGCUAUAUACAGAAUUUUCCUCAGUGGAGAUCAUUCCAUAUCCGUAUGUAAGGAACAAAAAACCUCUUCCCCUUUUGUGACUGCAUAAGGUUCUGUUGAAUGAAUAUGCUGCAGUUGAUUUAGUCAACUCCUGGUGAACAUUUAGGUUGUUUCCUGUCUUUUGUUAUUAUGGUGAUAACCUUAAACCUAAUAUUGUUAUGCAUAUCUAUGCCAGGGAUAGCGCCAAGCUAAAGCCCUAGAAGUGUAGUUUACCCUGUAGUUUCUAGGGCUUUACCAAGCUAAAGCCCUCAAAGUAUAGUUUGUUGGGUAUCAGCUUCACUGAUAAUGCCAUUCCUGGAAACAUUUUAGCAGAAUCAGUAAACUGGAAGGAUGAUUUAGAGACACCUUUUUUUCAGACACUGAUGGCACUGACAGUAAAUGUGAUUAUACAGUGAGGUGAUUCUACUUUUCUUUGAAAAUGUGGAUCUUUCAAACAUGGAGAUACAUUUUGUCCCUGUCAGGUUGUCCUGGUUCAUGAGACAAAUUAGGACCUUAUUAUAGUUUGUCUUCUCCUCAGACAGAGUGUGAUCAGGGGCAAGUGGCUUAUUUCUCCAAAACUGUUGUUUUCUCUUUAAGAUGUGGAUGCAGUACCUACCUCAUAGGGCUUCCAUGAGAAACUGUUGAGAUAACAUACGUGGUGUGUAGCACAGUGCUUUGCAGAUUGUCCAAUAAAUAGUAGAUAUUAGUUGGAACGUGCUGCCUUUGGUCAGAAUACUUUUUUCUGCACUCACUUCUGGAACCAGUUUAUGAACCAUGCAAAAUGUGUCAUUCUCUUUGUAAAAUGAAAAUCUAUAGUAUCCACUGUGAUCAUACCACCUGGCUUACCAGGUUUGAUCUUAAAUGACUGAAUUGUUAGCAGAAUGAACUACAGCCUUGAAGGAUAAUGGUUUACCAUCUUGAUAGGUAUUCAAACUUUCACAAGCUUAGAAAGCUGUUUUCAAAGAGGGAUUCAUUGUUAUCAGCCAUGGAGCCUUGAUGCUUGUGUGUAUGGUCUCCCAGGUGGCUUCUUUGGGGAUGUGAGUCACUUAGAUGUUGCAUGAUGAGGUCUCUAUAAUUGUACUUGUAAAUGAGGCACGAUUGGACUUGGAGCUUCCCCUCGGGAGUGACACUUAACCUUGCUGACGGGAUCAUCUCCACCAGUGGGAGCCACCCAGCUAAUCACCUUAAACGUGUGAACAGCAACACAAAGAGUGCAGGCCAACUUCAUGGUCACCAUUCAGAUUCCCUCUCCCAUUUCAGGCUCUUGCAGGAGUGAAAGGGAUCUGGAGUUCUCAGGCAGGAUUAUCUUCACGGAGACAUAUUGUUGGGGGACCUAGAACCAUUAUGGGUUUUAGGCGGUGUGGUGGUUGUGAUCGUGGUACUCAAAGUUAACAUUCUCUGGGUGUUUUGUAGAGGUCCCUGCAGAGGGGUGGGAAGAACUACUGCAAGACAUGCCUUUUUUUUUUUUCCUUUAAAAAAAUCUUGAGGAGUUCCUGUUGUGGCACAGUGGAAAUGAAUGCGACUAGUAUCCAUGAGGAUGCGGGUUUGAUCCUUGGCCUCCCUCAAUGGGUUAAGGAUCUGACAUUGCUGUGGGCUAUGGUGUGGGUUGCAGAUGUGGCUCGGACCCACAUAGGCCAGCAGCUGCAGCUCCUAGUGGACCCCCAGCCUGGGAACUUCCAUAUGCUG
rnacentral:lncRNA from 1 species